GACGAACGCUGGCGGCGUGCUUAACACAUGCAAGUCGAACGGUGACCCUCUUCGGAGGGGAUCAGUGGCGAACGGGUGAGUAACACGUGGGCAACCUGCCCCCGGCCUUGUGAUAACUCCAAGAAAUUGGGGCUAAUACCGGAUGUUCACCGCUUCCCGCCUGGGUGGUGGUGAAAAGGGUUUCCGGCUGGGGAUCGGCUCGCGGCCCAUCAGCCUGUUGGUGGGGUAGUGGCCUACCAAGGCGACGACGGGUAGCCGGCCUGGGAGGGUUGCCAGCCACACUAGGACUACGGGACGGCCCAGACGCGUACGGGGGGCAGCAGUGGGGAGUAUUGCGCAAUGGGACGACGCCGGUCGCAGCGGCGCCGGGUUGGGGAUGACGGCCUGCGGGUUGUAAACCUCUGUCGGCAAGGACGAAGCGGAAGUGACGGUACCUGCAGAAGAAGCACCGGCCUACUACGUG
rnacentral:rRNA from 1 species